rnacentral:rRNA from 1 species
GACGAACGCUGGCGGCGUGCUUUACACAUGCAAGUCGAACGGUGAAGGUGGAGCUUGCUCCGCCGGAUCAGUGGCGAACGGGUGAGUAACACGUGGGCAACCUGCCCCUAACUUUGGGAUAACUACUCGAAAGAGUAGCUAAUACCGGAUAUGAAGUCUGUAGGCAUCUAUGGAUUUGGAAAGUUUUUCGGUUAGGGAUGGGCCCUCGGCCUAUCAGCUUGUUGGUGAGGUAGUGGCUCACCAAGGCGACGCCGGGUAGCCGGACUGGGAGGGCGACCGGCCACUCUGGGACUGAGACACGGUCCAGACUCCUACGGGAGGCAGCAGUGGGGAAUAUUGCGCGAUGGGCGAAAGCCUGACGCAGCAACGCCGCGUGCGGGAUGAAGGCCUUCGGGUUGUAAACCGCUUCCAGCAGGGAAGAAGCGAAAGUGACGGUACCUGCAGAAGAAGCACCGGCUAACUACGUGCCAGCCGCCGCCGUAA